UGAGGGCGCAUUAAGGGCGUAUGGUGGAUGCCUUGACACAAAAUGGCGAUGAAGGACGUAGCGUAGCUGCGAUAAGCUUCGGGGAGGUGUGUAGCAACCUUUGAUCCGGAGAUUUCCGAAUGGGGAAACCCCUUUGCGUGAACCGCAUUGACCAGUGCAUCUCACUAAGGUGAGAUGCAGUAGUUAGUAUUAAGUAGUAAGUAGUAUGGGAUGGAAUUCUUUUUUUUCCGCCUUUCUACUGUCUACUUGCUACUUUCUACUGCACCUCAUUUUUGUGAGGUGCGUUGGAGCUGACCCACUGAAGCGAAACUUCCCAGUAAGUGGAGGAAUAUAGAAAAACUUUUAUUACCUGAGUAGCGGCGAGCGAAACGGUAACAGCCCAAACUCAAUUUAUAUUGAGGGUAGUAAGAUAAAGAUACUUUAGGGAUAUGAAACAGGGUUGCGCAUCACGCACGGCGUGAUGCUGAGAUGUCGAUAUAUCGAAAAUUCGAAAACUCACAUCGCGCACAGCGUGAUGUGCUAUAGCACCUUGUUUCGUGUUUCUAAGGAGUCUCAACGCAAGUUGAGGAAGAGUUAAAAAUUGAUUUGCUAGCUGAAGCCGCUGGAAAGCGGCACCAAAGAAGGUGAUAGGCCUGUAAGCGAAAGCAAAUCAACUCUUAUUUUUAUCCCGAUGUUAAAGUCGGGACCUCCGACAGUGUGCAUCUCACUAAGGUGAGAUGCAGUAGCUAGUAUUAAGUAGUAAGUAGUAUGAAACGGAAUUCUUUUUCUUCCGCCUUUCUACUGUCUACUUACUACUUUCUACUGCACCUCAUUUUUGUGAGGUGCAUAUUGUCGGAAGCUCUUGAGUAUCUCGAGGCCAAUAAACCUUGAGAGAAUCCGCCAGUACUAUCUGGCAAGGCUAAAUACAUUUUGUGAUCGAUAGUGAACUAGUACCGCGAGGGAAAGGUGAAAAGCAGGCCGGAAGGCCGUUGAAAUAGUACCUGAAACCAUAUGCCUACAAGGACCUGAAGGGCGCAAGCCUAACAGGGUGCCUAUUGAAGAAUGAACCAACGAGUUUACGGAUAUCGCAAGUCUAAGUCCUACGGGACGGAGGCGCAGCGAAAGCGAGUGUUAAUAGCGCGAAAAAAAUCUUGUUUUACAAGAUAAGCGUUGUUCGUAAGACCCGAAGCCAAGGCGAGCUUGCCCUGAGCAGGUUGAACCCCGAGUAAAAUCGGGGGGAGGACCGAACUGGUGGAUUGUGCAAAAUCCUCGGAUGACUUGGGGUAAGAAGUGAAAAGCUAAUCGAGAUUGGUAAUUGCUGGUU
rnacentral:rRNA from 1 species